GUAACACGCACGCACAGACACACACACGCGCACACACACACACAUAUAUAUGUGUGUGCACGCACGCGCAUGUGCAUGUGUCAAAUGAUUACCACAAUCUUCAUAAAAUGCAACCGAUAGGUUUUGAUAAUUCCUUGUAGAAAUAAAAGUAUUUCAAAACCCAAUCUUAAUGAGUUCCAAAAAUAUUCUUAAUCCAUCAAAUAAUUCAAGC
rnacentral:lncRNA from 1 species